rnacentral:sRNA from 1 species
GCGCGUGGGGGUGAUGUCGCUAAGGGGUCAUUCUCCCCUCCCUAGAGUUACACAAGCUAUCUCUCCCGCCAAUUGCCGGGCGCCAUCGGGCAGGUCCUUUCCUCCUGAGCCCAAACCAUCCGCUUGUCGUCGUCCUCCAAUCACAGCGGCUCAUCCUCAGGGACUACUUUGCAAUCGGCACAGAGCGCAGUGAGAAGAGCUUGAAAAAAACCUCUGGUAUCGGGAAGUGUAGUUCAACACUUGAAGGAAACGCUUUGGAGAUUGCGCCAGAACCAGGGCAGCGUAAACUACAGUUCCCAGAGAGCGCCGCGUCGGGAGCGGAGCCUUUUUCGCUAACACCGCUCGCCCUCUUCGAGUCAGUUCCGCGGUAGAGGUGACCUGACUCUCUGAGGCUCAUUUUGCAGUUGUUGAAAUUGUCCUCGCAGUUUUCAAUCAUGUCUGAACCAAUCAGAGUCCUUGUGACUGGAGCAGCUGGUCAAAUUGCAUAUUCACUGCUGUACAGUAUUGGAAAUGGAUCUGUCUUUGGUAAAGAUCAGCCUAUAAUUCUUGUGCUGUUGGAUAUCACCCCCAUGAUGGGUGUCCUGGACGGUGUCCUAAUGGAACUGCAAGACUGUGCCCUUCCCCUCCUGAAAGAUGUCAUCGCAACAGAUAAAGAAGAGAUUGCCUUCAAAGACCUGGAUGUGGCCAUUCUUGUGGGCUCCAUGCCAAGAAGGGAAGGCAUGGAGAGAAAAGAUUUACUGAAAGCAAAUGUGAAAAUCUUCAAAUCCCAGGGUGCAGCCUUAGAUAAAUACGCCAAGAAGUCAGUUAAGGUGACCAACACUGUAUUUUAUGGGAUUUUUCAUCAUUAGCAUUUGAAACUUACGCUUUUAGCAUUUAAGCAAAACCAGAAUUA